UUUUCAUAGUUACGAAUUACACUCCACUACUGGAUUUAAAAAAAGUGAGCCACAUUAAUUGUCCUAAACACCACAAGGUAGAAGCACCUCACUAACAGCUGCAACCUCCACAACCAGGUGCUAGCAGGUAGAGGAAACUAGCUGAUGUAGCCUCCUCUACCGUCUAUUAGUCACCUACAUAUCACCCAAAAAGGCAGCCUUAGUUCAUUGUUGUCUCACCCAGCUCUUUUGACUACACAAAAACUUUCUCUAUAAGGCAUCAGGUUACUCCUACCACGGUCUUACGGGCACACGGUCUACAUUCUCCGCAUAAGCGUCUCUAUUCUCACUCUACUGAUUCGUGGAAGCGUGCGUACCUAAAUACGGGUUGAAAUUAUACGGCUAUUUGAAACGGGUCGCCCUGGCACCAUCUCUCCUACACUAUGCUGUU
rnacentral:rRNA from 1 species